GGAUCAGGUAGGAAUACCCGCUGAACUUAAGCAUAUCAAUAAGC
rnacentral:rRNA from 1 species